rnacentral:rRNA from 1 species
UAGAGUUUGAUCAUGGCUCAGGAUGAACGCUAGCGGCAGGCUUAACACAUGCAAGUCGAGGGGCAUCGGGAGGAAAGCUUGCUUUCCUUGCCGGCGACCGGCGCACGGGUGAGUAACACGUAUGCAACCUGCCCUCUUCAGGGGGACAACCUUCCGAAAGGGAGGCUAAUCCCGCGUAUAUCGGUUUCGGGCAUCCGAGAUCGAGGAAAGAUUCAUCGGAAGAGGAUGGGCAUGCGGCGCAUUAGCUUGACGGCGGGGUAACGGCCCACCGUGGCGACGAUGCGUAGGGGUUCUGAGAGGAAGGUCCCCCACACUGGUACUGAGACACGGACCAGACUCCUACGGGAGGCAGCAGUGAGGAAUAUUGGUCAAUGGGCGCGAGCCUGAACCAGCCAAGUCGCGUGAGGGAAGACGGUCCUAUGGAUUGUAAACCUCUUUUGUCGGGGAGCAAAAGACGCCACGUGUGGCGUUCCGAGAGUACCCGAAGAAAAAGCAUCGGCUAACUCCGUGCCAGCAGCCGCGGUAAUACGGAGGAUGCGAGCGUUAUCCGGAUUUAUUGGGUUUAAAGGGUGCGCAGGCGGAUUUUUAAGUCAGCGGUCAAAUCGUGGGGCUCAACCCCAUCCAGCCGUUGAAACUGGGGAUCUAGAGUGUGCGAGAGGUAUGCGGAAUGCGUGGUGUAGCGGUGAAAUGCAUAGAUAUCACGCAGAACCCCGAUUGCGAAGGCAGCAUACCGGUGCACAACUGACGCUCAGGCACGAAAGCGUGGGUAUCGAACAGGAUUAGAUACCCUGGUAGUCCACGCAGUAAACGAUGAAUGCUACCUGUUUGGCCAGAUUGAUG